UUGAUCCUGGCUCAGAAUCAACGCUGGCGGCGUGCCUCAGACAUGCAAGUCGAACGCGAAAGGCCCCUUCGGGGGCCGAGUAGAGUGGCGCACGGGUGAUUAACACGUAGGUAAUCUACCUCUGGGUGGGGAAUAACAGCCGGAAACGGUUGCUAAUACCGCAUAACGCAGCGGCACCACAUGGUGACAGUUGUUAAAGUGGGGGAACUUCGGUCCUCGCGCCUGGAGAGGAGCCUGCGGCGGAUUAGCUAGUUGGUAGGGUAACGGCCUACCAAGGCGACGAUCCGUAGCCGGCCUGAUAGGGCGGUCGGCCACACUGGCACUGACAUACGGGCCAGACUCCUACGGGUGGCAGCAGUCGGGAAUUUUGGGCAAUGGGCGAAAGCCUGACCCAGCAACUCCGCGUGAAGGAUGAAGUUUUUCGGAAUGUAAACUUCACAAGAAUGGGAUGAAUAAGUCUGGGCUAAUACCCCUGACGAUGACGGUACCAUUUGUAAGCUCCGGCUAACUCCGUGCCAGCAGCCGCGGUAAUAAGGGCGU
rnacentral:rRNA from 1 species